rnacentral:rRNA from 1 species
CAGUAGCCGCGGUAAUACGUAGGUGGCAAGCGUUGUCCGGAAUUAUUGGGCGUAAAGGGCUCGCAGGCGGUUUCUUAAGUCUGAUGUGAAAGCCCCCGGCUCAACCGGGGGGGGGUCAUUGGAAACUGGGAAACUUGAGUGCAGAAGAGGAGAGUGGAAUUCCACGUGUAGCGGUGAAAUGCGUAGAGAUGUGGAGGAACACCAGUGGCGAAGGCGACUCUCUGGUCUGUAACUGACGCUGAGGAGCGAAAGCGUGGGGAGCGAACAGGAUUAGAUACCCGGGUAGUCCCUGUCUCUUAUA